rnacentral:rRNA from 1 species
GACGAACGCUGGCGGCGUGCCUAAUACAUGCAAGUUGAGCGAUGAAGCUUGGUGCUUGCUCCACUUUGAAGAGCAGCGAACGGGUGAGUAACGCGUGGGGAAUCUGCCUUUGAGCGGGGGACAACAUUUGGAAACGAAUGCUAAUACCGCAUAACAACUUUAAACAUAAGUUUUAAGUUUGAAAGAUGCAAUUGCAUCACUCAAAGAUGAUCCCGCCUUGGAUUAGCUAGUUGGUGAGGUAAAGGCUCACCAAGGCGAAGAUACAUAGCCCACCUGGGAGGGGUGACGGCCAAAAUGGGACUGGAGAACGGCCCAAAACUCCACGGGAGGCAGCAAGAGGGGAUCUUCGGGCAUGGACGGAAGUCCGGACGGGCAACGCCGGGGGGGUGGAGAAGGUUUUCGGAUUGUAAAAAUCUGUUGGUAGGGAAGAACGUAGGUGGGAGUGGAAAGCUCAUGAAGUGACGGUAACUAACCAGAAAGGGACGGCUAACUACGUG